AUUUUUUGCUAAUUUAACAAUUUAAUUGAAAAACAAUUGAAAUAGUACUAUAAUAAUAGUAUUCAAGUACUAAAAACGUAGGUAAACCGAUAAACAGCCAUGGCGGAAGCCGCAGCAUGCCAAUUGCAGUACGAGAACAAGGAGAACUAUGUAUAUUCUCUUGCUGCAAGCCGGCGUACGACUGGCUAUCUACUAGUUGGUGGGCACGCAAAUGAGUGACCACGCGGAAUGACACAAGCGUGUCAUAGGCACUGUGGGAAGAUAUCAUAGAUGGCAAGGAUGCCAUAAAUACACUGACUUUGAUUACAGAUAUUGCUUCCAGCAAGGGAAUUCUCUGCGAGAAUUCGGUGGAAAUGCUGCUGGGCUACGAUUGGACUCUGUCAAGCAGCAGAAGCUGAACCUCAGGUCCAUGGCCAGGGUUAACGUAAGCGGAUUCGCGAAAAUAUACACGGAGACUCGCCAAUAUCAAAGAUUCUGAGGUUGCGUCAACUGUAGCAGCUCGAUGCGCUGGCCUUGACCUGUGCCUGCCAUAGAUCUGGCCCAGAUGGUAACUCAGAGCAAUAGCAAGGAACCAUAUUUACAAUAAUUGCCGCACAAUAGU